UAGGGAAUCUUCCGCAAUGGACGCAAGUCUGACGGAGCAACGCCGCGUGAGUGAAGAAGGAUUUCGGUUCGUAAAACUCUGUUGUUAGAGAAGAACAGCGCAUAGAGUAACUGUUAUGCGUGUGACGGUAUCUAACCAGAAAGCCACGGCUAACUACGUGCCAGCAGCCGCGGUAAUACGUAGGUGGCAAGCGUUGUCCGGAUUUAUUGGGCGUAAAGCGAGCGCAGGCGGUCAAUUAAGUCUGAUGUGAAAGCCCCCGGCUCAACCGGGGAGGGUCAUUGGAAACUGGUUGACUUGAGUGCAGAAGAGGAGAGUGGAAUUCCAUGUGUAGCGGUGAAAUGAGUGGAUAUAUGGAGGAACACCAGUGGCGAAGGCGACUCUCUGGUCUGUAACUGACGCUGAGGCUCGAAAGCGUGGGUAGCAAACAGG
rnacentral:rRNA from 1 species